rnacentral:rRNA from 1 species
AUUGAACGCUGGCGGCAGGCUUAACACAUGCAAGUCGAGCGGGGAAGGUUGCUUCGGUAACUAACCUAGCGGCGGACGGGUGAGUAAUGCUUAGGAAUCUGCCUAUUAGUGGGGGACAACAUUCCGAAAGGAAUGCUAAUACCGCAUACGCCCUACGGGGGAAAGCAGGGGAUCUUCGGACCUUGCGCUAAUAGAUGAGCCUAAGUCGGAUUAGCUAGUUGGUGGGGUAAAGGCCUACCAAGGCGACGAUCUGUUGCGGGUCUGAGAGGAUGAUCCGCCACACUGGGACUGAGACACGGCCCAGACUCCUACGGGAGGCAGCAGUGGGGAAUAUUGGACAAUGGGCGGAAGCUUGAUCCAGCCAUGCCGCGUGUGUGAAGAAGGCCUUUUGGUUGUAAAGCACUUUAAGCGAGGAGGAGGCUCCUUUAGUUAAUACCUAAAGUGAGUGGACGUUACUCGCAGAAUAAGCACCGGCUAACUCUGUGCCAGCCGCCGCCGUAAGAC